GCCAAAAUUUAGGGAAACCCUAAGCUGAUACUUGGCCAUUUGAAAAGAAAACAAACAGGACUAAGGUCUCCCCCCCAACUCUCAUUCGGUCCGCCGCUCAGCCAUUGUUCCACCACCGUAUCGAUAGGUGAAGGUGCACAAAGGUGUCUUAUUACUCUCCGUUUAGAGCCAAGCCUCAAAGGCCGUUGAUUUUAGCCCCAAAAUCCUAUCUUCGACUUCGAUGUCAACGAAGGAGAUGAGGAUCCCGAUGGCUCGUAAGCGAAGGUACAAGACGUGCUGGCGCUCGUUGGCCCUUGGCGUGUGGCGUACGGAGGCUCGGACGUGGUCGUUCGGGGUUGAAGGCUCAUGGAAGCUGGGACUGCUGCAGCGUAAGCAGACGGCUAGGGUUCUGAAGUCUUUUGGGCCAUUUGGGCCUCGUAACUUUGGACUAUUUUGUAAAUGGGCUAGGGUAUUAGUUAUAAGGUCAUGUAAUUGGGAUUGGGUAUUGGGCUGUAGGGUAUUUGGGUCUAGGUUUGUUAAUUAUGUGGUUUUUUAUUGUUUAUUUAUUUUGUUAUUAUUAUUUAUUUUGGGUUUCUAGUGGGCCCGAGCGAAUUGGCCCGUUUACAACCACACUUAACUUUUACUUACUAAUAUCUAAACUCACAUUUUGGA